rnacentral:lncRNA from 1 species
GCUGGUGAUUUCCAGUAGGUGACCUCACAGUGACUCAAGCUACCACUUACUGUUGAUUGUGACGAAAUGCCAGCUGAGGCACAUGCCUUGGGAGCUAAGUGGUUGCUGCACUUGACCACUGUGAAGACUGGUGUGGGAAGGGUCGUUUCGGAUGCACUUGAGCAGGGGUCCCCAACCCCUGAGCCAUGGAGCCGCAAGGAGCCACACAGCAGGAGGUGGGACCAUCCAGUUGCAGGAAAACAAGCUUAACACGCCCACUGAUUCUACAUUAUGCUCCUACCUCCUGGCAGCCUCUCCAGGCCCAGAACUUUCUCCAGUCAGCCUCUACAGACCAAGCUCAUGACUCACAAUGGCCUAUUUAGGCCCAUACCCUACGUCACGGCAGUCUCCGCAGAUGAGGCUACUGCCUCACAACAGCCUCCACAGGCACAGCUCCAUCGUUACAAUGGCCUCUUUAGACCCAGCUCCUGCCUCCCAGCCUUCUCUCCAGGCCCUGAACUUUCUCAAGUCGACCUCACCAGGCCCAGCUCAUGCUUCUUUGCAGCCUCUCCAGGCCCAGCUCCUGCAUCUUGGUGGCCCCUCCAGGCCCAGCCUCUGCCUCCCGUCGGCCUCUACAGUCCCAACAUCUGUCUCACAGCAGAUUCUUCAGGCCCAGCAUCUGCCUCACUGUGGACCCCCCAAGCCAAGCUCCCAACCUUUCAGCAGCUUCUACACACCCAGCUCCUGCCACCCAGUGGCUUCUUUAGGCCAAGCUCAUGCUUCACAAGGGCCUUUCCAGGCCCAACUUUUGUCUCAUGGCAACCUUCCCUGGCCAGAUUCCUGCCUGUCUCCCAGCAGCCUAGACAGGCCCAGGUCUUGCCUCACACUGGCCUCUCUACAUCCAGCUUAUGCCUCACGGUGGCCUCUCCAGGCCCAACUCCUGUCCCAGGACGUCAUCUCCGGGCCCAAAACUUACUCAAGUCAGACUCUCUAGUCCCAACUGCUGCCUCCUGGUGGCCUAUGAAGGCCCAAAAUCUCCUCAAGUUGGCCUCUCCAGGCCCAGCUCCUGCCUCCUGUCAGCGUCUAGAGGCCCAACCUCUGCCUCAUGGGGGCUUCUCCAGGCCCACCUCUUCCUCUUGGCUGGGUCUACAGGCACAACUGCUGCCUCACAACAGCCUUUUUUGGCCCAGUUCCUGUCCAGCUCAUGGCGGCCAAUGUAGGCCCAAAACUUCCUCAAGUCAAACUCUCCAGGCCCACCUUCUGCUUCCCGGUGGCAUGAACCGGCCCAGCUUUGACUUGAGAACAGCCUCUGCAGGCCCUGCUCUUGCCUCCCAGGGGCUUUUUCCAGGCCCAGCUCUUGCCUCAUGGCAGCUGCCCCAGGCCGAAUUUCUGCCUGCCUGCCAGCAGCCUCAACAGGCACAGCUCCUCCCUCACAGUGGCCCAUUUAGGCCCAACUCAUGACUGUCAGGCCAUUUCCAGGCCUAGUGCCUGCCUCGUGGCUGACUCUUGAAGCCCAAAACUUCCUCAAAUCAGCCUUUUGCCCAACUUCUGUCUACUGUCGGACUCUACAGGCCAGCCUCUGCCUCACAGUGGACCCUCCAGACCCAGAUGGUGUCUCACUGUGGCAUCCUCAGGUGAAGCUCCUGCCUUUCGGCAGCCUCUCCAGGCCCAGCUCCUCCUGCCUCCCAGUGGCCUCUUUCGGCCCAGCCCAGCUCAUGCCUCCCGGCGGCCUUCCC